rnacentral:misc_RNA from 1 species
GUAGGUGAACCUGCGGAAGGAUCAUUACAGAUCGAUGGGGUUGGGGAGAGUGGGUGGUGAGGGUGUUGGAGGUGAUGAUUGUGCAAUCUGAGGAUUGUAAUAGUCUGAGGAUUGUAUGACCAUGAGGUUGCAUGACCACAUCCCCUUUCCUUCCCUUCCCAUUCUCUCCCCUCCCACAUAUGUUCGGAGUCGCAAGGCUUCCGUAACACAUUCACGCUUGAUUUGUUUGUCAGAGUAAGAUACACACAACAGUAUACUAGACAACUUUUAACAAUGGAUCUCUUGGCUCUU